AACCGGAACUACCUCUUGAACCACUAUAUGACUUGAUUCUCCAAUUUCGUGUAUUACAUCCGCUGCAUUAAGAUUCUGUGUCAACAAAUUUCGUUCUCCCUGCAAAGGUGCUGACACUAGUAUAGGAUUUUCCUCUUCUGAAGGUGGUUGACGUAAUGUGUGCACGAUGACAACAUACACAUAAUUUGAACAAAACAAGGAUGUGAACUUUUUUAAUUUGAACUUGGCUCCUAUCUCCGCAUGAAUACGAGUAGCUACAUAAGCCGCCCAGUUGAACACCAUCCCUUCAAAUGCCCCUACAACUGCAUACAAUAAUCGUUUUGACACACAUGUAGGGUGUCGGUACAAUCCUAACCGCCUCAGUACGAACCGCAACCAUUCCACAUAUUCUGGUGUAAUCGCCUCCUGAGUCCGCCAACCUUAGCUCCUUUCAAA
rnacentral:lncRNA from 1 species